rnacentral:rRNA from 1 species
GACGAACGCUGGCGGCGUGCUUAACACAUGCAAGUCGAACGGAAAGACACUGCUUUUGUGGGGUGCUCGAGUGGCGAACGGGUGAGUAACACGUGAGUAACCUGCUCUUGACUUUGGGAUAACUUCAGGAAACUGGGGCUAAUACCGGAUCGGAGCUCCUGCUGCAUGGUGGGGGUUGGAAAGUUUCGGCGGGUGGGGAUGGACUCGCGGCUUAUCAGCUUGUUGGUGGGGUAGUGGCUUACCAAGGCUUUGACGGGUAGCCGGCCUGAGAGGGUGACCGGCCACAUUGGGACUGAGAUACGGCCCAGACUGCUACGGGAGGCAGCAGUGGGGAAUAUUGCACAAUGGGCGGAAGCCUGAUGCAGCAACGCUGCGGGCGGGAUGACGGCCUUCGGGGUGUAAACCGCUUUCGCCUGUGACGAAGCGUGAGUGACGGUAAUGGGUAAAGAAGCACCGGCUAACUACGUG